GAUGAACGCUAGCGGCAGGCUUAAUACAUGCAAGUCGAGGGACAGCACAGGUAGCAAUACUGGGUGGUAACCGGCAAACGGGUGCGGAACACGUACACAACCUUCCUUUAAGUGGGGGAUAGCCCAGAGAAAUUUGGAUUAAUACCCCGUAAUAUAGUUGAAUGGCAUCAUUUGAUUAUUAUAGCUACGGCGCUUAAUGAUGGGUGUGCGGCUGAUUAGAUAGUUGGCGGGGUAACGGCCCACCAAGUCUACGAUCAGUAGCUGAUGUGAGAGCAUGAGCAGCCACACGGGAACUGAGAGACGGGCCCGACUCCUACGGGAGGCAGCAGUAAGGAAUAUUGGUCAAUGGACGCAGGUCUGAACCAGCCAUGCCGCGUGAAGGAUUAAGGUCCUCUGGAUUGUAAACUUCUUUUAUUUGGGACGAAAAAGGGCCUUUCUAGGUCAACUGACGGUACCAGAUGAAUAAGCACCGGCUAACUCCGUGCCAGCCGCCGCCGUAAGAC
rnacentral:rRNA from 1 species